CAGGCGUGGAGAAUUUGACAUCAUAAGAAUCAACGACGACUCGCCGGAGUUGAGCUGCCCCUUGGACUAGUAAGGAUAAGAGGCCGGGGCGCCGGGCGACCAGGACGGCGAGUCAGUUGACUCUAUAUUGUCUUAAUUAGGUCUAAGGUUCUUUUUUCAGGUCGCUGAGAAUAUCUCUACAGACUCAACUCCAAGGCUAGAGACCAUGCAAGUUGUUAGUUUCUCUCCUGUAAUAAUUGCACGAAUACCAAUUCUUUGAUUUGUUCGUCAAAUUAAUUUAUCUAAGC
rnacentral:lncRNA from 1 species